GCGCAGCAGUCGAGAAACCUUCGCAAUGCAGGAAACUGCGACGAGGGAACUCCAAGUGCCUACGCUCAGCGUAGGCUGUUCUCAAGCCUAGAAAGCUUGAGGAGUAAGGGCUGGGGUAAGACGGGGUGCCAUCUGUGGUAGCAGUCAAUAGAUUCGAUUUGUACUGCAAGGCAUAAGCCGCCGCGGUAAUACCCGCAGCCCAAGUGGUGGCCGCUUUUA
rnacentral:rRNA from 1 species